UUACGGCCAUAUCACGUUGAAACACCAGUUCCCGUACGAUCGUCGAAGUUAAUCAACGUCGAGCCUGGUCAGUACAUAAAUGGGUGACCACUUGGUGAUGCCAAGUGCUGUU